rnacentral:rRNA from 1 species
CCUACGGGUGGCAGCAGUGGGGAAUAUUGGGCAAUGGGCGCAAGCCUGACCCAGCAACGCCGCGUGAAGGAAGAAGGCUUUCGGGUUGUAAACUUCUUUUCUCAGGGACGAAGCAAGUGACGGUACCUGCGGAAUAAGCCACGGCUAACUACGUGCCAGCAGCCGCGGUAAUACGUAGGUGGCAAGCGUUAUCCGGAUUUACGGGGUGUAAAGGGCGUGUAGGCGGGACGGCAAGUCAGAUGUGAAAACCACGGGCUCAACCUGUGGCCUGCAUCUGAAACUGUAGUUCUUGAGUACUGGUGAGGCAGACGGAAUUCGUAGUGUAGCGGUGAAAUGCGUAGAUAUUAGGAAGAACACCGGUGGCGAAGGCAGUCUGCUGAACAGCAACUGACGCUGAGGCGCGAAAGCGUGGGGAGCAAACAGGAUUAGAUACCCCGGUAGUC